rnacentral:rRNA from 1 species
AUUGAACGCUGGCGGAAUGCUUUACACAUGCAAGUCGAACGGCAGCACGGACUUCGGUCUGGUGGCGAGUGGCGAACGGGUGAGUAACAUAUCGGAACGUAUCCAAUAAUGGGGGAUAACGAGUCGAAAGAUUCGCUAAUACCGCAUACGCCCUACGGGGGAAAGCUGGGGACCUUCGGGCCUGUCGUUAAUGGAGCGGCCGAUAUCUGAUUAGCUAGUUGGUGAGGUAAAGGCUCACCAAGGCGACGAUCAGUAGCUGGUCUGAGAGGACGACCAGCCACACUGGAACGGAGACACGGUCCAGACUCAUACGGGAGGCAGCAGUGGGGAAUUUUGGACAAUGGGCGCAAGCCUGAUCCAGCCAUUCCGCGUGAGUGAAGAAGGCCUUCGGGUUGUAAAGCUCUUUCGCAAGGGAAGAAAACUUAGCCACUAACAUUGGUUGAGGUUGACGGUACCUUGAUAAGAAGCACCGGCCAACUACGUGCCAGCCGCCGCGGUAA